AAAGGCAUGGAUCCCCGAGAAGCGAUAGUUGUACUGUUAAUUUCACUGUGUCUUGUAGUUAAUUAUGUACAAGGACAAGGAAAUAUUCUACAAAUUCUACAGCGAACAACAGAAUUUUCAAAGUUUGCGCAGCUAGUUACCAGAGCACAUCUUACGAGGUUUUACGAAUUGCCGACCACCAUGACAGUGUUCGCAUUAACGAACACAGCUUAUAACCAACUCCAGUACAGGGCACGCAACAUAAUAGACAACUAAACGGAAACCGAGCUCAGAGAUUACCUCAGGUUCUGUACAAUCGCAGGAAGCCGAAUACUCACCACGGCUAUCCAGGAUAACCAGCACGUACGGAGCAGCAAUUCCAAGCAGGACCGCC